AAACUUUAGUCCACCUUCAAAAAUCCCAUAUCUAUAAAUGAUUACCUCUUGAAAAAAAUUGUGUACUAGCAACUUGCUAUAGUCCAUGUAUCUCUCUUCUUAGCUUUAUUUUGUGGGAUUACAUUGAAUAUCAUUUUUAACAUCUGAAAAUAAUGGAGGUGUUGGCUGUUACUGAGUUACUCCAUGUAUGUAAUAAGGAGAAUAUCCCACCUAGCUCAGUAGAAAAAGUCAUGAACCCAAAUUGUUUAAAGGUGAAAUGCUGCACAAGAAAUAUGAAGAGAAAAUUCAGGAGGCCUUUGAGAGAUAUAACCAAAUUUCUCAAUUUACCAGUCCAGUUUACUGCUUCUUCAGUUGCAUUUACAAUAUUUCAGAUAUUUGAUUCUCUUUCUUAUCAAGGGAUUGUGAAUCGAAAGCGAAAAUCAGCUGAUGAGAAUGUUGAUUCUGUGCAGAAGCAUUGUUCGAAGAUGCUUAGGAGAGAUUUCAGAUAGUUCAAUAUUUUAGACAAGUAAAAUAGAUACAACAGAAGUAGAAUAUAGUAACUUUUUGUUGGGGCAGAAGAUGGUCUUUGGGGAUCUUAGAAGAAAGUUCCUCUCCUCUCUGUCAGUUUAUUUUGUGAAAUGAACAAAUUGUUAAGAUUUUCCCGAAAUUUCUUAGUUUUCCUGAUUUUUUAUCAUAAUUAAAAUUAUCUUUCUUGAUGGAAAAGAUUUUUUUUGCUAUUAGGUUUAUUUUCUUUGAGAGGUAUGGUUUUUGUAGUUCUGUAAAUAGAAGAUCUCUCUUGAGUGAUCGAGUUAAAGUUUUUACUAGGGGUUUAUAAAUAACAUACGAACUAAUUGAAGGGAGAUUCAACAUUUAUAAUAUACAUAUAAAAAAUAAUUUUAAUUAUUUAUAAAUAGAAUUAUAAUUUUUUACCAAAAAAGGUUCGAAUGAACUCCUCGUCAAAGGAUAGCUUCGCC
rnacentral:lncRNA from 1 species